rfam:Oryza meridionalis cultivar OR44 (W2112) chromosome 3, whole genome shotgun sequence.
UUUAAAUACAACCAUGAGAUUCUCCACUCAACUUUCAUCGUCCGUAUUAUUUAAAACUUUUUUAUAAUUAGUUUUUUAUUGUUAUGGGAUGAUAAAAUAUGAAUACUAAUGUUUCUAUUUUUUUUCAAAUAAGACGGACGAUUAAAGUAGGACGCGGAGAACCAUGGCUGCAUUCAAA